GGUUCGGGAAGGAGAAGCGCUGACCGCAUCUAAGCGCGAAACCUGCCCCAAGAUGAGGAAUCCCGUCCCGGGUUCGCCCGGGGCCCCGACCCCCGAGAGACUAUCGGGUGGAUAGGCGGACCGUGGUAGUCCUGUAAAGGAUGGAGCGAGUCCGUACUAAUCGGUCGGCCCUCUUUCUCCU
rnacentral:rRNA from 1 species